rnacentral:rRNA from 1 species
CGUGCCAGCAGCCGCGGUAAUACGGAGGAUGCGAGCGUUAUCCGGAUUUAUUGGGUUUAAAGGGUGCGUAGGCGGCACGCCAAGUCAGCGGUGAAAUUUCCGGGCUCAACCCGGAGUGUGCCGUUGAAACUGGCGAGCUAGAGUGCACAAGAGGCAGGCGGAAUGCGUGGUGUAGCGGUGAAAUGCAUAGAUAUCACGCAGAACCCCGAUUGCGAAGGCAGCCUGCUAGGGUGCGACAGACGCUGAGGCACGAAAGCGUGGGUAUCGAACAGGAUUAGAUACCCUGGUAGUCCACGCAGUAAACGAUGAAUACUAACUGUUUGCGAUACAAUGUAAGCGGUACAGCGAAAGCGUUAAGUAUUCCACCUGGGGAGUACGCCGGCAACGGUGAAACUCAAAGGAAUUGACGGGGGCCCGCACAAGCGGAGGAACAUGUGGUUUAAUUCGAUGAUACGCGAGGAACCUUACCCGGGCUCAAACGCAGGGGGAAUGCCGGUGAAAGUCGGCAGCUAGCAAUAGUCGCCUGCGAGGUGCUGCAUGGUUGUCGUCAGCUCGUGCCGUGAGGUGUCGGCUUAAGUGCCAUAACGAGCGCAACCCCUAUUGACAGUUACUAACGGGUGAAGCCGAGGACUCUGUCGAGGCUGCCGGCGCAAGCCGCGAGGAAGGUGGGGAUGACGUCAAAUCAGCACGGCCCUUACGUCCGGGGCGACACACGUGUUACAAUGGCAGGUACAGAAGGCAGCCAGUCAGCAAUGACGCGCGAAUCCCGAAAACCUGUCUCAGUUCGGAUUGGAGUCUGCAACCCGACUCCAUGAAGCUGGAUUCGCUAGUAAUCGCGCAUCAGCCAUGGCGCGGUGAGUACGUUCCCGGGCCUUGUACACACCGCCCGUCAAGCCAUGGAAGCCGGGAGUACCUGAAGCAUGCAACCGCAAGGAGCGUACGAAGGUAAUACCGGU